GUAGCUCCUUUAUCUCCAAAUUUGGGGCUUUAUGUUUCCAUUAAAAAUUCUAGGCUGUAAAUGCUGGGAAAUUUUCAGUCAACAUCCAUGACAGGACUUAUUUCCUUCAAAUACCAUGUAUGUUUAGGCAGUGCUAUGGACUUAAUUAUGUGAUCUGCAUAUUUGGUAUCACUGAGCCCCUACUAUGCAUUAUGUAGUGUGGGGAAUAAAGUCUGCUUUCUAAAGAGGCUGGAGAGUUGGACUUUCUUCUGCUGACAGUUGGUGGAUGGCUGGGAAUGAAGAUUUUGAAUAGUGCAUAGGAUGGGGUAGGGGUGGGGCCAGAUAUGAAGCCAUGGUGACAGAAGCACUGGGGAAGGAGAAUAAAGCAACUAAGAGAGGUUUGUAGGGCAAGGUGAAAAACAGAUGCAUGAUCACUUGAUGGGUAAAAUUAGAGAAGUGAAAAGCAAAGGAACAAGAUGAGAAAAGAAAGAACAAACCCAGGGUGUAACUGGAAGAUUGAUUUCAUGGCAAAAGGGAACUUAUCUUAUAUGCAUAUAACUUGCUAUGUAUGAUAGCCAGGAUAAUAUCUUCUUCUCUAAAAGGGAAAGGAAGAAUUUCCAAAGGCCUAAGGAAUUUUCAUCUAAUGCUAUACACAUCUAGAAAUGCAUACUCAGAGACUUUAAUAAUCCCUAUGUUAUAUUAACUGGGAAGCAAUGAGAAGUCUAAAAGCAGCUUUUCUGCAUAAGGGGAUGAGUAUUAUCAUAGCUAAUCUAGAACCAGGAAAGACAAGCCCUUAGCCAACAUUUCUUAUUAUUAAAAAGAGAAGGUGUUUCCAAAGUUACAGUACAGUCAGUCCUCUAUAAAAUUGAUAUAUAAAUACCUAUCCAUGUUAGCAAAGGAAAGCUGAUUCUAUUUUUAUAGCAAUCCAAAAUGUGUUAGUUUAGAGGCCUCAAGGAAGUACUUGAAUAUGAGUUUUAUGAUUAUUUAAAAAACACAAUCCUAAUGCAAAAUUCCUACUUUAUUUAUGCUUCAGAUUGAGAGAUGAAAAGUCAUCAUUUUAAUUCAGGUCAAAUAAGCAUUCCUGAAAGAAGCCAAGAGGUGAGCUGGAGUUUAAGAUAUUUCUCCAUGGAAUUUUCUGUGUUUCUUUCAAGUCCACUGAAUGAUGCCAAAAAUGUGCAGAAGAAGAAAGAUCUUGGCUUCUCUCUGCACGAGUUUGAGGGUGUGAAUGAAAAGUUCUGCAGUCAUCGUCUCCAUGGGAAAAAAAAAAUCUGAUUUUAGUAACAUCUUGCCAUAUACAAGAGUUAUUUUUUGAAAAAGUUUCUAAGCUUGUCAAAAUAUUCCUAGGUGCGAGUUUAGUGUUUCUUGAAAAACUGAAGAGGCAGAAGGUAAAAAAGCAAACGUUCAUGACUAUGUUUGGCCUUUCUCAUUCGUGUAUGAAAUAACUGUUGAACAAGGAAGAAAGAUAAAAUUCCUAUCUGAAAAGAUAGUGCCCACAUGUCUCUGACUGUUCCAUUCUCAACUAUGUUUUUAUUCCUCCUCUUCCUCCUCUUUGAUUACUUGAUUUCUUCUCAUCCAUGGAAGCUCAAAGCAAACAACCUUCUUACCAAAGCACCUUCCUUGUUUGCUAUCAACUAGCAUUCUCGGGAGCUCAAAGCAGUUUUUUCCUUACGUUUCACUUAUUUGGUAUGUAAAUUAUAAAUAUAUUGUUAGGCAAUCAAAUCAUAUUUUCUCUAUAAGUUUACUAAGACUUUGAAGCAAGGGGUACAUGUCUCUUACCUGCAUGGCUUUGUGAACAGCAGCAGCUCUAUUGACUUAUCCCCUCUGAGACAAAACAGGUGGGACAUAGGGAGGAUUAUAAAACACAAGAAGCUCAAGAAGGAGUUGAAUUCCUCUGCCGCUUCCUGCUACCAACACUCUAUCCCCACAAAAUCUGAGAGUGAUCUGUUAGCCAUGAAACCAUGUCUUUGGGGGUUGGUGUCAUAAUUAUCAUUAAAGGGCUUAGCUGUAGGAAAUGGCCUUGCUUUCUAAAUUUCACUGAAAUAGCCUACAUGUCCAGAACAAUUAAGAAUUAUAUAGGUUAGAAAAAAGUGUCUUUUAAAAUUAAAUAGUUGUGCUGUGAUUCAAACUGCCUUGUUUCCAAAUAUCCAUCCUUUUAACCAGGAAGGCACAUUUUCAACAUGACAUAAAAAAAGGGCUGAUAUAACAAAGAAAUUAAAGAAUAUCAAAGCCAACACAGUAAAAAGCAAUGGCAUCCUCAACAAGAAAGGGAAUGUGAAACUGAAUACAGGUACCAGGAAUCAGAAGAGUGCCAGGAAGAGAAUGAUCUUUGUUCUGCAGUAGCAGAGUUGCCUCCUGAGGAGCUGGAGAAAGCAGGCUUGCUUGUGUCACUAAAAGAAGCAAUGUUGACUCAAGGAGAAAUACACAAUGCCAUGAAUUAUAAGGACUGGUGACAGAAAAUGAGUUAGGUUCUCUCUUUCAUCUUCUUCUGGUAUCCCUACACAAGAAUCAUGGGCUAAUAGCAUGUUAGGGCUGGAAGGGGCUUAUAGAACAUCUAGUAUAACUUCCUCUCUUUAUUGGUGUUGCAAGUGAGGCCCAAAGAGAGGAAUUUACCUAACGUGCAGCAGUGCUGCAGAAAAUUCAAAUUCUUUACUUCUAACUAUUCCCAGAAUUGGUCAUUCAUCUCUUCAAAAUAUAUGUGUUGGUGUAAAUAAAAUUAUACCCAAGGGGGUUUUUAAUCUCACACAACUAUAUAUCACAUGGCAGGGACAAACAUUAACAAUCAGAGCCAAGUUGUUACUAUAGUCAAUAAAUUGAAUAACUUAUUUUACCACCUCUUAUUCUUCUACCUUUUUAAAAAGUGUAUAUAUCAAAACAAGCUUCAUCUUACUUAGUGUCCUCAUGCAUGGAUAGAGUUAAAAUGGUUUAGGCAUCAUUUUGCAUUAGAGUUCUGGAAUGUAUGCAGAGCAAGGUUGGAUGGAUUUUUACCAUGUAAGUCAGCCACUAGGCAGUAUUUGUAGUGGAAAUGGGCCUCUAACACUCAUUUCCAAUAGGACAGUAGAAAACAUGGUAUCUACCACCACAGAUCUGCUGUCAAAAGUUUAACCUCCUAUGGGUUAACAUGCGAGUGAUUUAUUUUAUCUUGUGAGCUACUUUGACACCAAAGUAUCUUGAAUGGUCAUAAGUUUGACAAAAAGACCUUUAUGGCUGGUUGAAAUUAAUGACCUCUAAAGUUUGAUUUUACCCUGAGAUCCUGUGAUUCUAAGAGCAGCAGUAGAAAUCCUAGGCAUCUUUCAAGUGUCAUUCUGAACAACAAAAAAAAUAACAUCAGAAGGGAAAAUCUUUUAGACUCAUUAUCUUGCCAUUUCAACCAAUAUAAAUACCAGCUUUAUUUUUUGAAAGCUUUAUUGGAAUUUCUACAUAAGGCUACAUACAUUUCUAAAUAGCUCCCUCAAACUAGAAACUUGUCUAUAAAACAACUGAAAUCAAAUGGAAAGCCCCUUUUCUCAGCCUUAUAUAAGUAAACCUUACUUAUAUAUACCUGAUCAAUAGGGCUAUACUCUCCCUGACAGAUGUUUUCAUUUUUUCUGCCUGAAUAUAAUGUAAAUGGAGCAAAUUCUACCCUAAGGUGCAAUAUUAUACCACAGACUGAUAUAAUAAUAAUUUAUGGCCUAUAUAUUAUAGUUAUAUAAAAUGUCUCAUACCACAUCACCAAUUAUAAGGGGCUGAUCUGCAAUACAACUGAUAGGUUUAGUCCUAUAGGACAUUUCAUUCCAGUUAUAGUUUAAUUUUCAACCUUACUCAUUUGUGAUCUCUCUUUAUAAUUGCCAAAAAGUUCAGGGAUCAUAUGAAGCACUGUUUUUCAAAUGGCCCAUGUGGAAGCAGAAGCCUAGUACAUAUCUUUGAUAAAAGAAUUAACAAGGAUAGUAAUUUAUUAUAUUCUGUAGGGAGAGAAAUUAAUAAUUUAACUACAGAAGAAUUCAGAUGAAUAGGAAAAGAAGAGGAAAAAAAGGAAAACUAGAAAAAAAUUGCUUUCCAGGUUCACAGAAGGCAAACAUCGUGUGGACACUUCCCCAGUGCCUCGGGCUAUGUGGUUAAGACUAAACACACCGUGUGCUCUAUCUUCUAUUUGUUGAACCUCCAGGUGGAACCAGAUUAGCAGAAAGAACGUUUCCUCGGUCAUGAGGGAAUUUAAUUCUUAUCACCUGCUGUGGAAGAUUGGCAACAGCAUUCCUGACCUAAAGAAUAAACUUCUAAUUGUUCUUAAGAAGGUAAUUCCACCAAGGUAAUUCUAGGUCUGCUUCAGCUAUUCCUUAUUUUUGAGUGAUUUUAUUUCAGACUUAAAUCCAUUCCCUUGACGAUAACUGGAGAAAUGAAGCAUAGGAAGAAAAUUGUCCAGAAAGGAUAACACCAAACAUUAAUCUCUUUUGGAACAGAGAGACUCUUUGUUUUUAGUAAACUAGACACAGUUUCAUGGGCAUGUAGGUACUUGAGUGCCCACAAUGCACCAGGCAAUGUGCUGGGGGUGGCAAGAAAUAAAUGCAAUGCUUCUCUACUCUGUGGCAAGCCCUGUGAUAGAACUUUUUACACGCCAUCUCAGCAGACCCUGCAUUUGUCUAAUGUCUAUUUCAUGCUUUUUACACCUGUGUAAGGCAGUCUAUAAGGUGGCUCCCAACUGUCUCAGCCUCCUGGUAUUCAUACCCUUGAUUAUUCCCUCCCCUUAAAUGUCCUAUACUUAUUGACUCACUUCUAAGUGAUGAAUAGAAUACAGUAGAGGUGACAGGAUGUCACUUUCAAGAUUAGAUUGAAAACAACAAUGGCUUCCACCUUCUCCCCAACCCUCAAUCAAAGACAGCUAUUAAGUUGUAAGCUGUCCUGUAGAAAGGCUCUUGUGCCAAUGAAGUAUUAUCUGUGGCCAACAGUCCACAAUGACUAAGGCCUGCCACCAGCCAUAGGUAAGGGCUUGGAAGCAGAUCUCUCCCAAGUUGAGGUGACUGAAGCCCUGGCUGUCACCUCGGUUGCAGCCUUAUGGAGGGACUCUAAGCCAGAGGCACCCAGCUAAGCCACAUCUGGAUUCCUGACCUGCAAAAAUUAGGAGGUAAUGCCUUGUUGAUUUUUGAGCUGCUACGUUUUGGAGUUAUUUGUUAUGCAGCAAUAGAGAACUAAUAUAACACCAUUUCCUCCUCUCUAGUCACCAUUAUUUAGAAACAACUCCAUGAAUGAACAAUGAGAAUCAAGAGCUGGGAAUCAAUAGUUGAGGUGACAGAUUAGGCAACAGCAUGAUGGCCAGCACGUGUCUCACCCAGAAGCUGUCCUCUUCCUUCUUAUAAGACAAGGCUCUAACUCAUGAGGAUGGUUUUUACCACAAAGUUGCACGAGGUGCUUGAAUUUACCACAAAGUUGCAGGAGGUGCUUGACUAGUACAGGAGCACAGCUAAAAAAGGCUCUGCAGACCAAGUCUUCCAUAUUGAUCACAUCUUAGCUAACACUGCUAUGGCUUAAUUGGGCAAACGGCCAAUGGCAUCUGAUCUGCCAUUUUCCAUUUCUCUCAAAAACUAGUUAAGGUAUGGGAAGGACAUCUACCUCAUUUUCCUCUCCUGCCUCCCCGCCUGCCACACACAUUGAGGGCCAAGAAUGGCUCUUUGUAAAGCUACUUGAAAUAAAUGCUACAGGCCUCGUCCUGCUUGGAAGUAAAUCUGGAUGGAAUGUAAUCAAACAGCAUGCAUUUGGCAUCAACUUAUGUUUGAGCAUUGCAGGUAUAAAAAUGAAAAAUAUGUUUUGGCAGAGAGUUGGACAGAAAGGAAGACUUAAUUAAAUAUCUGAAAUAUACACCACUGGAACCAAUUAAUAAUCAUCAAGGGAUCAGAAAAGGAAGGACAGUAAUAAAAAGAGUUUAUAAAGUCGAAAUUUCAGGUGAGAGGGAAAAAAUCCUAUCCACAUUCUUCUGAAUCUCUGAAUUGGUAAGCAACACUUUAUUUUUCAUUUUCCUAACUAAUAUUUAUGCAUUGUCAAUGUCCUACUGCCUUCAAUAAGUUUACAAUCUAACUGGGAGACCAAAAUCUCUAAAAUGCAAUAAUGUGUGCAUCAAAACUCAAGUUCUUAUCAGGGACUGAUUACUUUGGAGUCCUCAGCUCCAUCUCCUAACCCAUGUAUACACUUUCAUAGUUCCUCUUCAGAAAGGAACUAUUUUUAUUCUGUAAAAAUCUAGUGGUCAAAUGAAAUGGGUAUGCUUUAUAGGUAAGGAUCCUGAAGCAAAAAUCAAAUGCAUAAAGAUUACACGGCAAAUGAAGUAAGAGAUUUUUAAGCUCUGACACCAUUUGAUUUUUAGUUUUUUCUAUCACAAAAUAGUGCUAAUAGCUUAUAAAAUUAAAAUAAGUAAAAGUAGCUUUGUUAAAGCAGAAAGAAACUUACACUUCCCUACAACAAUUUGCAAACUUAAGUCAAAUGAUCAAUGAUCAAAUAGCAGAGGCUGGAGUGUGCCCAAGGGGGACUUGAUCUUAUUCUGGGUGUUUUAGCCCAAGCAGAAAUCAAUGCAGGGUUUUCUGCCACCUGCUUAUUUUGUUUCCAGUCAAGCAAAACAAGGGGCUUAUCUCCCUCACAGAUCAGCAUAUGAGAUAUGCUUCAGAUAUGUUUGCCUGUCAGACUCAUAAACACAACAAGAUAUGCCAGCUGCAAUGAAGAGAAGCCCUGUUUCAGUUCGUGGAUUACAGACUGCAACAUCCAUCAGCAUCAAGACAAACACCUUCAAACUACUGUCCUUGGCGUCCAGCCUAACAGAUCUGAGGAAUGUGAUAAAGGAACACUGGAUUCCCAAGGUCUGCUCAGGUUUCCUUCCAUAACAAGAAGUAGCCAAAUACAGCUGAACAGGCCUGCUGAAACCACUGAUUUCUUUCGUUUAAGUUCAGAGGUUCGUAACCUGCUCAAUGGUUUAAACAACAACAACAAGCAGUAUCGGAAGUCAGCAUCAUCUACUCAGCAGCCCAAAUCUGGAAGGUUUUGGAAAAAAUCAGGACACCACUGUUAACCACCUUAACAAGACUGCAAACACAGGCUGUCUAUUCCUCAUCAACAGAAUCUUUGAUACUGGCAAUUUGUUUAGAUUGGCUUGCAGAAGCAUAUAUUGGUAGCUAUGUUAUGAAUAUUUACCGGUUUCAUACACAUUCAUAAAAAUCAGAAACAUUUUCCUCCUAGGUAUCUGCAUUGGUCUUGAAUGGCUGUUUAAAAAUAAUCAGAAACCCCCACUCAUUCAAGAAUGACUCUUACCUACAACCCAAAUAAGCCAUACAGACAAGGGUAGAUCUCAGAUGAAUGAUAAUCAAGGGCCCUGUUAAAAUCUUCUGAAAUCAAAAAUAAAUAGUAAUUACUUUAUUAUCUAUCUGCCUAUCUAUUCAACCAUUCACAUUCUUUAAAAUUUUUGUAGGUACAUAGUAGGUGUACAUAUUUAUGGGGCAUAAGUUAUAUUUUGAUAUGGGCAUAAAUGUGUAAUAAUCACAUCAGGGUAAAUGGGGUAGCCAUCACCUCAAGCAUUUAUCCUAUUACAAGCAAU
rnacentral:lncRNA from 1 species